rnacentral:rRNA from 1 species
GAUGAACGCUAGCGGCGUGCCUAACACAUGCAAGUCGAACGGACAUUUUUUGGAAAGCUCUUCGGAACUGGAAUCUAAAUGUUAGUGGCGGACGGGUGAGUAACGCGUGAGCAAUCUGCCUUUCAGAGGGGGAUAACAGCCGGAAACGGCUGCUAAUACCGCAUAAUGCAUCGGAUUCGCAUGUUGCAGGGGUAAAAACUCCGGUGGUAUGAGAUGGAUCCGCGUCUGAUUAGCUAGUUGGUAAGGUAACGGCUUACCAAGGCAACGAUCAGUAGCCGACCUGAGAGGGUGACCGGCCACAUUGGGACUGAGACACGGCCCAA